rnacentral:rRNA from 1 species
CGCGUAGGCGGUUUUACAAGUCAGAUGUGAAAGCCCAUGGCUCAACCAUGGACGUGCAUUUGAAACUGUAAGACUUGAGUAUUGGAGGGGUGGUGGAAUUCCCGGUGUAGAGGUGAAAUUCGUAGAUAUCGGGAGGAAUACCAGUGGCGAAGGCGACCACCUGGCCAAAUACUGACGCUCAUGUGCGAAAGCGUGGGGAGCAAACA